ensembl:snoRNA
AGCACUGUGUGGUAUCUGCAGGCUGCUGCUCCUCCAGCCGCUCUGUUCAAAAGUCAGUGCUACAGCAGUCCAGCAGGGGGCAUCGUUGGUCUCCACACCGCUGUGUCUGGAGUCCUGGUAGACCUGCUGAGACACGC